rnacentral:lncRNA from 1 species
GGACGUGGCAGCCAAUGCCUUGCUCACUCCCAGCAGAAUGGAAUGACUUGGUUGCACCUCCUUUUUCCUACCAUGCACACCUUCUUCCCAUUUCUAAAAAAAACGUUUCAAAGACCCCCUGCUGCCAAGUGCUCCAGCCGUGAGUGCCCCCUCCUUUAAAUAAACUCCAACACCAAAAUAAAAUGAAAGUAGUGUUCUCCCUGGAUUUGAAUCCCGUGUGGAAGCGAAUAAAGAUUGAAAGCAACAUGCACAAAAAAAAAAAAACUGAAAUCUAGUGCUGAAAUUAAAAUCAACCAAAAACUAAUAAGAAGAUAAUGACUGGACC